rnacentral:rRNA from 1 species
GUGGGGAAUUUUGGACAAUGGGCGCAAGCCUGAUCCAGCCAUUCCGCGUGCAGGAUGAAGGCCUUCGGGUUGUAAACUGCUUUUGUACGGAACGAAAAGCCUCUGGUUAAUACCCGGGGGUCAUGACGGUACCGUAAGAAUAAGCACCGGCUAACUACGUGCCAGCAGCCGCGGUAAUACGUAGGGUGCGAGCGUUAAUCGGAAUUACUGGGCGUAAAGCGUGCGCAGGCGGUGAUGUAAGACAGUUGUGAAAUCCCCGGGCUCAACCUGGGAAUGGCGCUUGUGACUGCAAAGCUGGAGUGCGGCAGAGGGGGAUGGAAUUCCGCGUGUAGCAGUGAAAUGCGUAGAUAUGCGGAGGAACACCGAUGGCGAAGGCAAUCCCCUGGGCCUGCACUGACGCUCAUGCACGAAAGCGUGGGGAGCAAACAGGAUUAGAAACCCGAGUAGUCC